rnacentral:rRNA from 1 species
GAUCAUGGCUCAGGAUGAACGCUAGCUAUAGGCUUAACACAUGCAAGUCGAGGGGAAACGGCAUUAUGUGCUUGCACAUUUUGGACGUCGACCGGCGCACGGGUGAGUAUCGCGUAUCCAACCUGCCCUUUACUUGGGGAUACCCCGUUGAAAGACGGCCUAAUACCCGAUGUAAUUCAUUGAUGGCAUCAGAUAUGAAUAAAAGAAUUUAUUCGGUAAAGGAAUGGGGAGUGCGUCUGAUUAG